rnacentral:rRNA from 1 species
CAGCCGCCGCGGUAAUACGUAGGUGGCAAGCGUUGUCCGGAAUUAUUGGGCGUAAAGCGCACGUAGGCGGUUAUUCAGGUCAGAGGUGAAAGCCCGGGGCCCAACCCCGGAACUGCCUUUGAAACUAGAUGACUGGAAUCUUGGAGAGGUCAGUGGAAUUCCGAGUGUAGAGGUGAAAUUCGUAGAUAUUCGGAAGAACACCAGUGGCUGAGGCGACUGACUGGACAAGUAUUGACGCUGAGGUGCGAAAGCGUGGGGAGCAAACAGGAUUAGAUACCCGCGUAGUCCCUGUCUCUUAUAC